rnacentral:lncRNA from 1 species
UGAGGAUGAUUUUGCCACCGAAGCUGCACAUGAAACGGGCACGUGGUUGUGGAGCGGUGGUGUCGUCAUACAUGUGGUGUUGGUAGUUCUCGGAGCGAGGCGUGGAGGCUAAUGAGUCGCCGUUGACGGAGUCUAACUCCGGCGGCGCGUGAUUUGACCCGCUCAUUACUGCAAAUGGAAAAUGGAAAAGGCGGUUAGUCGAUCUGUUGCUGUUAUUGGCACUUGGUAGUUCUCGGAACGAGGCGUGGAGGCUAAUGAGUCGCCGUUGACGGAGUCUAACUCCGGCGGCGCGUGAUUUGACCCGCUCAUUACUGCAAAUGGAAAAUGGAAAAGGCGGUUAGUCGAUCUGUUGCUGUUAUUGGCACUGUUACAUUGAAGAAGUGAUUGUAAACUUUCUAUUCAAAAUUAAUGUGUAAAACAAAAAAGAAAAAGAACGAUUUGGAACUGUGAAAAAUGUAGA